rnacentral:rRNA from 1 species
UACGUAGGCAGCAAGCGUUGUUCGGAGUUACUGGGCGUAAAGGGUGUGUAGGCGGUUUUUUAAGUUUGGUGUGAAAUCUCCCGGCUUAACUGGGAGGGUGCGCCGGAAACUGGAGUGCUUGAGCGCGGGAGAGGAAAGCGGAAUUCCUGGUGUAGCGGUGAAAUGCGUAGAUAUCAGGAGGAACACCUGUGGUGUAGACGGCUUUCUGGACCGUAGCUGACGCUGAGACACGAAAGCGUGGGUAGCAAACAGG